UAGUUGAGCUAGAAUACUCUUAAAAGCAUCAUGGGGGUGGUACUUCUUAGUUUUUAGCCAUUGGAUGAAGAUAUGUGAGGUUGAGAUGAUGGUGGUAGGUGGUGGUAGGUGGAAUAGCAUUUGACCUAAGGAUUAUUAGUAAUCAAGAAGUAGAUCCAAUAGCUAAAAAUCUAAUAGCACCAUGGGGAUGAUACUUGUAAAAAUAUUUUAGCUCAAUUCUAUAUAUAUAUAUAUAGAGUAGGGCUAGAAUACUUGUAAAAAUAUCAUGAGGGUGAUACUUGUGUGUUUUUAGCCCUUGGAUGGAGAGAUGUGAGGUUGAGAUGAUGAUGAUAGGUGGUGGUAGGUGGAAUAGUGUUUAAUUCAAGGGCUAUUAAUAAUCAAAAAGUAGAUCCAAUGGCUUAAAACCUAAUAGCACUAUGAUGGUGAUACUUGUAAAAGUAUCAUAGCUCAACUCUAUAUAUAUAUAUAUAUAUAU
rnacentral:lncRNA from 1 species